rnacentral:rRNA from 1 species
UACGGAGGGUGCGAGCGUUGUCCGGAAUCAUUGGGCGUAAAGGGCGCGUAGGUGGCCCGGUCAGUUCGUGGUGAAAGCGCGGGGCUCAACCCUGCGUCGGCCAUGAAUACUGCCGCGGCUGGAGCACUGUAGAGGCAGGCGGAAUUCCGGGUGUAGCGGUGGAAUGCGUAGAGAUCCGGAGGAACACCAAUGGCGAAGGCAGCUCGCUGGGACGUGACUGACGCUGAGACGCGAAAGCGUGGGGAGCAAACAGG